AUGAAGAAUAACCAAGUUCUUAUAAGAAUAUUGUUUCUCAUAGCAAUGGAUUACAUGGUCGUAGCCAUGUUGAUAUGUUUCUUAUGUGCAUCUGGCGAUCUCCCUUCAGUAGAUGCAUAUGGAGACAUGGGAACCAAUGGGACGUUUUUAACAUCACCAAGAUCAGCACUGUUUGUGUUAGCUGGGAGGAAUAAAUACAAAGGCAACAAUGAUGUCAAUCUUAUAGUUGGAUGGGGCACCAGGCUGAGCAGCUACGGCGCGCGAGUUAAAAUAGGUAUAUGGAGUUCACAAGGACAACAUCAUUCCCAAGAAUCUGGGGCAUCAAUAUAUAUCAGCAGUAUUGAUCUAGAUCGGUCCUCCUUUAGUUCUAUCGAAGCUGGAUUUCAUGUACUUCCCGAGUUAUAUAAUAAUAAUAAUGUCCAUUUCUUUAUACGAUGGACGAAAGACAAUUACAAACCAACGGGCUGUUAUAAUUUGGACUGCCCCGGUUUUGUGCCUGCUAGUGGAGCUGCACUUGUUCCAGGCCAAGCUGUUGCUCCUCCCUCAACCUACGACAGGGACGAUCGCUACAUAACAAUUAGCAUGCACACUGACCCAAACACGAGAGAUUGGGUGUUGUAUCGAGAUGACUUGCGUAAACCUCAAUUUUUGGGGCACUUUCCAAAAGAGCUUUGUCCUAAACUGUAUGGUAUAGCUCCCGGAGUAGCGUGGAUUGGAUUUGUUAAGGAUAGGGAUCAAGGUGGUCCCGCAAUGGGUAGUGGUCAUUUUCCAGAAGAAGGCCAAAGGAAAGCAGCAUACUUCAAGAAUAUCAAGCUCUUUGAUUCCAAAGCUAAUGUGUAUGAUCCGAGUGGCUUGGUUACACUUGUCACCAGGCCAAACUGUUACAAGGUAAGUGAGCUUAUGCAUGCUAGAAAUGACGGAUAUAUGUUUUACUAUGGAGGUCCAGCUGGUUGUAUUGGUUGA
rnacentral:rRNA from 1 species